rnacentral:rRNA from 1 species
GACGAACGCUGGCGGCGUGCUUAACACAUGCAAGUCGAACGGAAAGGCCCUGCUUUUGUGGGGUGCUCGAGUGGCGAACGGGUGAGUAACACGUGAGUAACCUGCCCUUGACUUUGGGAUAACUUCAGGAAACUGGGGCUAAUACCGGAUAGGAGCUCCUGCUGCAUGGUGGGGGUUGGAAAGUUUCGGCGGUUGGGGAUGGACUCGCGGCUUAUCAGCUUGUUGGUGGGGUAGUGGCUUACCAAGGCUUUGACGGGUAGCCGGCCUGAGAGGGUGACCGGCCACAAGGGGACUGAGAGACGGCGCAGACUGCUACGGGGGGCAGCAGUGGGGAAUAUUGCACAAUGAGCGGAAGCCUGAUGCAGAAACGCCGCGGGCGGGAUGACGGCCUGCGGGUUGUAAACCGCUUUCGCCUGUGACGAAGCGGGAGUGACGGUAAUGGGUAAAGAAGCACCGGCUAACUACGUG